AACUUUUUUUUAUUAUAAGAUUAACUUCUUAAAGGACAACUCUAUGCACCAUAACUAGUGAUGUGGAUGUAUUUAAUUUUUAGGCUGUUAAUUCCUAACAGGCAUGUCAGUGCAAUCCCACCACCCCAUUCUUGACCGGCUAGUUCAGUUUGCUUACACACACUUUUCUGCAGCCAUCUUUAAUCUUGCAUACACAUAAGUCACUGCCACAAAUGUAUAUAUCCAAACAAGCAAACAGCCAAACUUAUUUAUUC